rnacentral:rRNA from 1 species
GAUGAACGCUGCGGCGUGCCUAAUACAUGCAAGUCGAGCGAACAGACGAGGAGCUUGCUCCUCUGACGUUAGCGGCGGACGGGUGAGUAACACGUGGAUAACCUACCUAUAAGACUGGGAUAACUUCGGGAAACCGGAGCUAAUACCGGAUAAUAUAUUGAACCGCAUGGUUCCAUAGUGAAAGACGGUUUUGCUGUCACUUAUAGAUGGAUCCGCGCCGCAUUAGCUAGUUGGUAAGGUAACGGCUUACCAAGGCAACGAUGCGUAGCCGACCUGAGAGGGCGAUCGGCCACACUGGAACUGAGACACGGUCCAGACUCCUACGGGAGGCAGCAGUAGGGAAUCUUCCGCAAUGGGCGAAAGCUUGACGGAGCAACGCCGCGUGAGUGAUGAAGGUCUUCGGAUCGUAAAACUCUGUUAUUAGGGAAGAACAAAUGUGUAAGUAACUAUGCACGUCUUGACGGUACCUAAUCAGAAAGCCACGGCUAACUACGUG